rnacentral:lncRNA from 8 species
UAGGAGCAAUGAGAUGGUACCGGCUUCAACUGCUGUCAGAGGGUGGCGCUCUAUACCAAAGAAACAGACUUUCCAAGAAAACCCAUCAGCCAUGCUGUGCCUUCUAGAUGCAGCCAUGAUAAAUUUACUGUCGUUUGUAAUGAAAUGAACUGUGCUUUUCAGACCUUGAUCAAGGACAAAGAGACUUAAAAUAUUUUCUCUUGAGGUUAAAUUAAUGUUGCUUUUCAACGAGUGUUAACUGGACUAUUGGACCGACCUGUGAUAAUUAUUUUCUGUAGGGGGCAAAUGACAGACUUUUAAUUACUGCCAUAAUGUCUUAACACCUUCAGUGACAGUAAAGAGGGCUGGAACAGGGAAAAGUCCGUUUUCAUAGGCUUAUACCAGUUAUUUUGAGGAAGUAACUAAUAAUGCUCUUUAUAAUAUAGGGGAAGACGUCUGCCACUACAGAAUAGUUUCCAACAAAGUUGAGGCCAAGACAUAGGACACUUGUACGGUUUUCUUGCAUUCAUUAAAGUUUGUCCCUCUGUCGAACUUUCACCCCUCGAACUCCCUCCUUUCAUUGGACAAAGUGCAGAAAUAAGAAAAGAAAGCUUUUUCUGCCUCAAUUGUAAUGAGAUAGUUUACAACUAGACAUUUUUACUUUAUGGCAAUCCGCUUGUGUCGACCCUUUCUGCUAAAACUAAUCCAUAAUCUCCCAGCAAAAUUGCAUUAUUGGACUUGGUUGCUGUGUAACGAAUAUGACUUCAGUUCUGUUCAAAUUCUGUAAAGAUCUGCAAUGAAUAUUGUUUACCCAGCAGGUGGAUAUGACGUCACGGACAUGGAACAUCAGAAAAUAACAACAUCCAAAUACGCGAUUCCGUUUUCUUUUAUAGCGCAUUAAAUUGUGAUAACAUUAGAAGGAGCUCGCUCUCUUAUUUGAGACAGAAGGUGUUGUGAAACUCUAGAUUUUUCUCCCUGUAACGGCACUCUCCGUGAAUGCAGCAGAGAUAUCUUCUCGUAGUUAAAGUUAGUCCCCCCAAGCGGAGUAAUAUUGUUAGUAUUUACAGUGUGGUUGUUGCAUGCUUUCUUGGUACACAACAUCGCGUGUACAGUUCAUUAUCUCUAGCAGAGAAUUGUCUACUGCGUCCACCUACCAUUGUCGAUUCCGGAGCAAUGAGAUGGUACCGGCUUCAACUGCUGUCAGAGGGUGGCGCUCUAUACCAAAGAAACAGACUUUCCAAGAAAACCCAUCAGCCAUGCUGUGCCUUCUAGAUGCAGCCAUGAUAAAUUUACUGUCGUUUGUAAUGAAAUGAACUGUGCUUUUCAGACCUUGAUCAAGGACAAAGAGACUUAAAAUAUUUUCUCUUGAGGUUAAAUUAAUGUUGCUUUUCAACGAGUGUUAACUGGACUAUUGGACCGACCUGUGAUAAUUAUUUUCUGUAGGGGGCAAAUGACAGACUUUUAAUUACUGCCAUAAUGUCUUAACACCUUCAGUGACAGUAAAGAGGGCUGGAACAGGGAAAAGUCCGUUUUCAUAGGCUUAUACCAGUUAUUUUGAGGAAGUAACUAAUAAUGCUCUUUAUAAUAUAGGGGAAGACGUCUGCCACUACAGAAUAGUUUCCAACAAAGUUGAGGCCGAGACAUAGGACACUUGUACGUUUGCUUGCAUUCAUUAAACUUUGUCCCUCUGUCGAACUUUCACCCCUCGAACUCCCUCCUUUCAUUGGACAAAGUGCAGAAAAAAGAAAAGAAAGCUUUUCUGCCUCAAUUGUAAUGAGAUAGUUUACAACUAGACAUUUUUACUUUAUGGCAAUCCGCUUGUGUCGACCCUUUCUGCUAAAACUAAUCCAUAAUCUCCCAGCAAAAUUGCAUUAUUGGACUUGGUUGCUGUGUAACUGGCAACGAAUAUGACUUCAGUUCUGUUCAAAUUCUGUAAAGAUCUGCAAUGAAUAUUGUUUACCCAGCAGGUGGAUAUGACGUCACGGACAUGGAACAUCAGAAAAUAACAACAUCCAAAUCCGCGAUUCCGUUUUCUUUUAUAGCGCAUUAAAUUGUGAUAACAUUAGAAGGAGCUCGCUCUCUUAUUUGAGAUCGAAGGUGUUGUGAAACUCUAGAUUUUUCUCCGUGUAAUGGCACUCUCCUUGAAUGCAGCAGAGAUAUCUUCUCGUAGUUAAAGUUAGUCCCCCCCAAGCGGAGUAAUAUUGUUAGUAUUUACAGUGUGGUUGUUGCAUGCUUUCUUGGUACACAACAUCGCGUGUACAGUUCAUUAUCUCUAGCAGAGAAUUGUCUACUGCGGCCACCUACCAUUGUCGAUUCCGGUAAGUUGAUCAUAUUAUAAUGUUCUCUCGUUACUCAUUGCCUCUACUAUUUCGGCUCGCUCACAUGGAGUUUGUCUUUGUUUGCCACUGUUUUCUUUUUUGUAUUGUUUCUAUGGCGAAAUAAACAAAUAAACAACACCAAUAAUAUUACAUGAGAGCUGAAAUACUGCUCGAUGUCUUGUUUUAUCGCUGUAAGCAGCGUAUACAUUUUGAAAUGCUCAGUGAUAGUAUUCGAAGAAGAGAUACCGCAUCUUCUACUUUUCUAGAAGUUUGGUCGGGUAGUUGUUGCUCUCUUAUUUUCUCAUGUUUGUGACCCCGGGUAAAUGUUAUUUUAACAUUCUCAAGAGCAUGUAAGAAGUGCAAGUUAUACUUUGUGAAACCAUGCUCUUGGUAAACUAAGUGUUUACACUUUAACUCAACAUGAGCUUUCUGAAUGUAGAGAGGAAGUUUGAGUGCCGUGAUUUCUUUGGACCAAAAUCAGGGAUAAGGGACUUUUCCCCACGUGCUACCUUCCACAAACUGCAGGACGGACCAGACUUACUGAAUAGCUAUGACUCUGACAAUUCAAAUUGCAAAUGUCAUAUAUUUUGACACAUUAUAAUUUCUUAUGGUUACAGUAGAAAGCACAAUUUUUGAUAGUUCAAUUAUGUACAUUGACAUAACCUAAUGUAUACCACGAUUUCAUAGUUACUGUAACACUUGCAUAGACAAUACCACUCUCCUAUAGUGUAAUAACAUAAUUGUGGUAUAGUGCACUGCAAUGGUAUUGAAUACUCUUUUUAUACUCUAAGCAUCUCCAUAUACAGGGGACAUCUUUUGUAGACUUUUCUUAUUUGCUACAAUUACCAUCCCACUUUGAGUUGUUAGUGCUUAGCUGUUGGAGGGAAGAAAGUUUUACAUAACUUUUUUGACCGGGUUGUAGUAGAUUAUAUACAUUUUUUUUGUUGUAUGAAUAUAUUCCACGGUGAAAGUAGAAGGAACUUUGAUAAAUGACAUGUUUAUUAUUGUAGUGGUGCUGUACAGUAAAGACCAUAUCAAACGGUAGAGGUUUUUUUAUAAGGUAAUGCUAAGUGUUGAACUAACAUAGAUAAAUGAAAACAUAUUUUGGUUGCACUUUUAUAAUGGCAAGUGUGUUCAGUUGUUCCAUUUAUUUCCUGUUCUAUUAUUUACAUCUUGAACUAUAUUAAAUCAUCAUUAUUGCAAUUAAAAUAACUUCACACUGUAACUUGCACACAGGGUGUAUAUCAUAUUUGAAUAAUUUUGUAUAUAUUUAUAGACCAUGAUUGUUUCCCUAAGCCAGGAGGGAACAUAACAAGCACACAACAGUUAGAUAUACAUUUUCCUCACAAUAAGGGCCCAAACCAAACCUGCAGCUGGUGCUCUAUUGGAGCUAAAACCAUCAAAAAAUAAAAGGCAACCGCAGCUUUAACAUCUAUCGUUGGCAGAGCUCCCUCUUUCUUGCUCUUUGGAUUAGUCAUUGUCUGAGGGGAAAAAACACUUUUUGUAGGAGAAGUAAAGUAAACAGCCUUGAACAAGUGAACCUUGACAACCCAGAUUAAGGAAAACAUUGAAGAUCAAACAAUGCUGCUGCUGGGCUGUUGUCAUGAGCUGCCUGAGAGAGAGCUGCAGACUAUUUGAACAAGCACUGGGGUUUGUGUGCUCACUUAUGCAGAAAUGGACCUUCGCAAAUGCUGACCCAGGUUUAAAAAGCAAAGGGUGAACUUUCUUUGAUACUUUCCAGCUCUGGUGUUUUAUACAGCCAGUGUCCAGAGAGCCCCAGCCUUUCUUCUCCUGUACGACAGGAACACACUAACAGUGUCCUCUCGGACUGCUUUAUGCCAGAUAAAACUACAGUACUUUCCUUGCCCGCUAUUGCAACUGAAAACAUUCACAAUCUGAAAAAAGUAUUAAAAUCUAGACAGGGUAGUCAUAUGCAGUGUUAUUACUUAGCCUCCUUGAAUUCCUAUCGAAUCCGUAAUGUGUGUGUUAUCUUCAAAAGUCCUUAUUUUCAGUUUGGCCUUUUUAGUACAUACACAGGCUUGUGUUUUGGGUCCUCUGUGUAUAAUGAGAAUUGAGGCUAAAUUGGUGAGAAAGUAAUCAGUCACUCAUGUAUUCAGUCUGAGGAGGACUCCCAUCCCAGAGUGGACGGGCUUGCUCUUUCAUCUGACUGCUCAGUAUUUUGUGAACACACGCUGAAAUAUCCAGUGCUGGGUACGGAAGGCCUGUAAACUGACUGUGCCCUCGCUAGCAGCUCCAUGAUAAGAAAAGUUAUUUUGGUGGGAAUGAGCUUUCACACUACAUAGAGUUUCCAGACUAGGGCUGGUAUUAGGGUACUUGCUUGAUUUACCCUGUCAUUAUUGUUUAAUACAGAGUUACUGUAACGUAACGUGGUACCACUUUUGGAUAACUUUCCCUAUGUAACUUGUGUAUUUAAAUAUCAUCACUUC